GAUGAACGCUGGCGGCGUGCCUAAUACAUGCAAGUCGAGCGAACGGACGAGAAGCUUGCUCCUCUGAUGUUAGCGGCGGACGGGUGAGUAACACGUGGAUAACCUACCUAUAAGACUGGGAUAACUUCGGGAAACCGGAGCUAAUACCGGAUAAUAUUUUGAACCGCAUGGUUCAAUAGUGAAAGACGGUCUUGCUGUCACUUAUAGAUGGAUCCGCGCUGCAUUAGCUAGUUGGUAAGGUAACGGCUUACCAAGGCAACGAUGCAUAGCCGACCUGAGAGGGUGAUCGGCCACACUGGAACUGAGACACGGUCCAGACUCCUACGGGAGGCAGCAGUAGGGAAUCUUCCGCAAUGGGCGAAAGCCUGACGGAGCAACGCCGCGUGAGUGAUGAAGGUCUUCGGAUCGUAAAACUCUGUUAUUAGGGAAGAACAUAUGUGUAAGUAACUGUGCACAUCUUGACGGUACCUAAUCAGAAAGCCACGGCUAACCACGUG
rnacentral:rRNA from 1 species